rnacentral:rRNA from 1 species
GAGAGAGACAUGCGCGCAUAUCAAUAAGCGGAGGAAAAGAAACUAACAAGGAUUCCCCUAGUAACGGCGAGUGAAGCGGGAAGAGCUCAAAUUUGAAAUCUUAAAGGGUUUCCCUUUACGAAUUGUAGUUUAAAGAAGUGUUUUCUGUUGAGGUUUUGGUAAAAGUUCUUUGGAAUAGGACAUCAUAGAGGGUGAGAAUCCCGUAUUUGACCAUUUACUUUCAGCUUUGUGAUACACUUUCAAAGAGUCGGAUUGUUUGGGAAUGCAGUCCAAAAUGGGUGGUAAAUUUCAUCUAAAGCUAAAUAUUGGCGAGAGACCGAUAGCGAACAAGUACCGUGAGGGAAAGAUGAAAAGAACUUUGAAAAGAGAGUUAAACAGUACGUGAAAUUGUCAAAAGGGAAGCGUUUGACACCAGUGUUGUUUUUCUGAAAAUCAAUUAAAGAACUGUUUAUGCUAAGUUGUUUAGACUUUAUCAGCUAACUGUUUAGUUUUGAGCUUUUCUUUAAUGCACUUUUCAGUUAACAAGUCAACAUCAAUUUCUUUUGCUGUAAAAAAGCUUGAGGAAGGUGGCUUGAGAUUCGUCUUAAGUGUUUAUAGCCUCUUGCCUAUGCAGUCGGAGAGAUUGAGGUCUGCAGCGUAGAUCCUUCGGGGCUAAAUGCAUUUGUGCUAAGUUAUAGCAUUUUAUAGACAACUUGUUGACUAUGAUUUGUCUUGUAGCUUACUCGCUUAUGUUAUUUUACCUACGCUUAGGAUGUUGAGCGCAUGUCUCUCUCU